UAAAAAUUAGAUUCCACAUAUGAGUGAUGUAUUUGUCAGUAGAGCUUGAAGUUUUAACAACAACGACAAAAAGACAUUACAGUUCCUCGACAUCUCGGUCUACUACUGAUAGUGGAGAAUACGAAAUAGCACAGAUACGGAUCUGUACCCACGCUGAGCACUCUUUUCCAGUAUCCUGCGCCCUCCUGGUGCGAGCAGGGAGAGGGGUGCCUGGGGAAGAAUUGGGGUGAAGUGCAGAGCUUAGACUGACCUGGGCGGGUGAGCUCUUGAACACAAGAUCUGCCUCUACAUUUUGUCCCUGGGGGUCUUGCUGCCUGAGUCUUCCACAGGCUCACAGAAAAAGUAAAUGCGGUUUUGGGCUGCCUCACCUUUCCCUUUCAGAGCCCCAGAUCUUACUCCUCCCCAAUCCCUUAAGAACCUUCCCCGUCAAAGUUGACCUCACCCACCCCUCCCCUCCAGGUGAAUAGGUUUUCUCUGCCUGCCUUCCCUAAAAUAAAAGAGUUCCUCUCACAGCCACAGGUGAGCGGUUCCUGGAUGAACAGCAUCAGCGUCAGAUCCUAGGAGCUUGUUAGGAAUGCACCCAGACCUACUAAAGCGGAACCUGCAUUUUAACAGGAUACCCAGGUGAUACGUAUGCAUGUUCAAGUUUGAGAAGUGUUGGUUUGGCAGUCUCUAAACGUUUUGAUGUUGAGCAGUGAUCUGGAGCACAUACCUUUUUAAGUAUAUUCAGGCUCUGCUGUACCAAUAUAUACAUUUUAAGAUACAAAAAGAUUUCUUCCUGUACCCGUUGUAUUUCUUUGGGGAGAUAACUGAAGGACACCUGAUGCAACUAUUCCAACACUUUGCACUCGGUAUAAGUGAGAAUUAGGCAGUUUGGGCUGCCUUCCAGUUUCUGAAUCUGUCAGUGUGGGAAAAUUGAGGACUUGAAGUCAAGUAUACAGAAAUAACCAUUCCUUUUUACCUGAACUUAAUUUCUUUUUUGGGCUCGCAUCCCACCAGGCUGGCAGAACAUGCCCUCGUUUCACCUUUCUCUCCCUGGUUGUCAAGAUUUGGAGGUAAUAAGGGUGGAGUCCUCCCUCCAGUCUUGGGGUCCAUUCAUCCACCGAGGUAGCUCUAGCCACGACCAUUGUCCUGGUCAAUGUCCACAGGCUCUGUCAAGUUGGCUGGUGUGCUCUCCAGUGUUUCCUUUUGCCCAGCUCAGGUUUCCCACCUUUGCAACCAGGUCCGUUGCAUGCUGUGUCCCCCGCUGUUAUGUUACCAGGAUGCCUUUCCUAAUCUUGCCCCUUCCACCCCUCAGGCCUCCCUCUCCUGCCUGCAUCCCCAGGCAGUGGGUAUGCCUUUCUGUGUGUGGGUGGGUUGGAUGAGAGUGUGGGAUGCAGUGUAGACUAGCCCUUACUUUUUCCUCAGACUUUUUGUUGAUAUCCAAUUUUUACCUGAGUCUUACAGGCAAUUUCUGUUUCUCAUCUUGCUACAAGCCUAUCCUGGAGUAGGGAAUCCCUGUGACAGUCCCUUCUUAGAGGUAAGUAUUGGACAGGUAGGGAAGAGGGAGAAAUGAAAAUACAGGGAGAAAAAUACUCAAAAUAUUCGGCCACUUAUUUAUAAAGCAUAUGAGAUCAGAAUUGCAGUGUCACAUUCUCCACAGCCUUCUCUAAAAGAUGCCAAUGUUUGAAGGAAGAACAAAGAAUAUUCAAAACACAAAUCAUGAAUGUGUAGAGUUCUAUAAACCCCACAUUUAAAUAAGACUUAAUUGUUGAAACAGAGAUGCCACAGGAUCAAGCUCUGGCUCAAGUGGACCACGAUUUAGCAACUCAUUAAUAAAAUCUAGCAGAUGGCAAAGUGGUUACAACACCAAGAAUAGGAUUGCUUAGUGUGGGGAUGAAUGGAAAAUCAAGAAACACUAACUACUGAGAUCAUCAUAAUUGAUUAGUUCUGCUUGCUUUUGAACUUCACAUAAAUGGGAGCAGAUAGCGUGCACUCUCUUAUGGCUGGCUUCCUUCACUCAACUGAAAUUGGUAAGAUUCGUCUGUGUGUCCUAGUAGUACAUUCUGUACAUUUGUUGCUAGAUUUUAUUGCAUGAAUAACUCCAAGUUUGUCUAUCCAUUGGUUGAUGGGUCUUAGGCUGCCCAAGUGAAGGGAUGACACCCAUCAAGGCUACAAAGUGACUCAUGGGACCAGACUCCACUGCUUGCCUCAGACAAGUAAUUCAUUUAUUCAACAAAUAUGUAUUGAUUUUUUUGAA